GAUCAGUGUGAGUUUAUUUACAGAGUUAGUGAAAAAAGGAUAACAAAAUAUGGAGAGGAAAAUUUCUGGUCUUUUGUUUUGCCUUCUCAUUUUGUUCGCCUCACAAAUGGCGAUCCCACGAGUGGAGGGAAGAGUGUGCAUCUCGCAAAGCCAUAAGUACAAAGGGCCUUGCCUAGGUGACCAUAACUGCGCUGAGGUGUGCCGUGGCGAAGGUUUCACCGGCGGGGACUGCAUUGGCUGGCAAAGAAAGUGCUUUUGCACUAGGUCUUGUUAAUUAAUUAAGUGCCAUUUUCAUGGCACUUAAUUAGUUCACUAUCCUUAAUUCUCUGCCUUUUGUUUUUUGGUAAUAAAAAAGUAGUAGGUGUUUCAGAGGGCAUUUUAUUUAUGAUGCUUGCACUGUAGCGUUCUUAGGGUUUUGGGCUUAGGGUUUAUUUUAUUUGGUACGAUAUGAUAUGAGUUGAGCUUAAAUGGAUUAGUGAAGAUUUAUGUAGCCGAUCUCAACUUGUUUGGGAUUAUUCUUGUUGCAUUGUACCGUUCUUCGUUUAGUAAUUCAUGGGUUCUUUAUUUCA